rnacentral:rRNA from 1 species
UACGUAGGAUGCAAGCGUUGUCCGGAAUUAUUGGGCGUAAAGAGCGAGCAGGCGGUUUGGAAAGUUGGACGUGAAAUUUUAGGGCUUAACCCUAAAGGGUCGUCCAAAACUCCCAGACUAGAGUGCAGGAGAGGAAAGCGGAAUUCCCGGUGUAGUGGUGAAAUGCGUAGAUAUCGGGAGGAACACCAGUGGCGAAGGCGACUUCCUGGCCUGUUCUUGACGCUGAGGCGCGAAAGCUAGGGGAGCAAAAGGG